GAUGAACGCUGGCGGCGUGCCUAAUACAUGCAAGUCGAGCGAACAGGCGAGGAGCUUGCUCCUCUGACGUUAGCGGCGGACGGGUGAGUAACACGUGGAUAACCCACCUAUAAGACUGGGAUAACUUCGGGAAACCGGAGCUAAUACCGGAUAAUAUAUUGAACCGCAUGGUUCAAUAGUGAAAGACGGUUUUGCUGUCACUUAUAGAUGGAUCCGCGCCGCAUUAGCUAGUUGGUAAGGUAACGGCUUACCAAGGCAACGAUGCGUAGCCGACCUGAGAGGGUGAUCGGCCACACUGGAACUGAGACACGGUCCAGACUCCUACGGGAGGCAGCAGUAGGGAAUCUUCCGCAAUGGGCGAAAGCCUGACGGAGCAACGCCGCGUGAGUGAUGAAGGUCUUCGGAUCGUAAAACUCUGUUAUUAGGGAAGAACAAAUGUGUAAGUAACUAUGCACGUCUUGACGGUACCUAAUCAGAAAGCCACGGCUAACUACGUG
rnacentral:rRNA from 1 species